rnacentral:rRNA from 1 species
GACGAACGCUGGCGGCGUGCCUAAUACAUGCAAGUAGAACGCUGAAGGAGGAGCUUCUUCUCCGGAUGAGUUGCGAACGGGUGAGUAACGCGUAGGUAACCUGCCUGGUAGCGGGGGAUAACUAUUGGAAACGAUAGCUAAUACCGCAUAAGAGUAGAUGUCGCAUGACAUUUGCUUAAAAGGUGCAACUGCACCACUACCAGAUGGACCUGCGUUGUAUUAGCUAGUUGGUGAGGUAACGGCUCACCAAGGCAACGAUACAUAGCCGACCUGAGAGGGUGAUCGGCCACACUGGGACUGAGACACGGCCCAGACUGCUACGGGAGGCAGCAGUAGGGAAUCUUCGGCAAUGGACGGAAGUCUGACCGAGCAACGCCGCGUGAGUGAAGAAGGUUUUCGGAUCGUAAAGCUCUGUUGUAAGAGAAGAACGAGUGUGAGAGUGGAAAGUUCACACUGUGACGGUAUCUUACCAGAAAGGGACGGCUAACUACGUG